UAAAACUUGACAAUAUAUAAAUGUAUACGUAUGUGUAUAGACAAAGAGAGGAGAACAGAUAUAGAGAAGUGAUAGAGCUGAAUAGAGCCCGGAGAGAAAAUACAUAGUAUAUAAGAGAACACAUUAAAAGCAGCAUAGUGUUUUUGCAUUUGUCAUGUGUUUGUAUGAUCUUUUUCGUGUAUACCCUGAUGUGAACAUGCUGUACAGUUCUCUAUUAUACAGCUCAGCUCUUCGCAACUUAUGGCUUCUGUGAUAUUGCAUAAUAAUACUGGAUUGUUGUAUGUUUUUUAAAGGAGGAGGAGGUUCUCUAGGAGGAGGUGGUGGACCUCUUGCACCUGGACCUUGACCCUGUCCAGGAGCUCGUCUAUUUCCAGGGGGUUGUUGGCCUUGCCCUUGAUUUUGGCCCUGACCAGGAGCUUCGGCAUCAGGGUUCGGUGACAUCGUAGUUGGAUCAUAGUCAAACAAAGCGACAAACCAUCUUGUUCGCUUAUUAAUCUGUUGCGCCC
rnacentral:lncRNA from 1 species